rnacentral:rRNA from 1 species
GAUGAACGCUGGCGGCGUGCCUAAUACAUGCAAGUCGAGCGAACAGACGAGAGUGCUUGCACUCUCUGACGUUAGCGGCGGACGGGUGAGUAACACGUGGGUAACCUACCUAUAAGACUGGGAUAACUUCGGGAAACCGGAGCUAAUACCGGAUAAUAUUUAGCUUCGCAUGAAGCAAUAGUGAAAGACGGUUCUGCUGUCACUUAUAGAUGGACCCGCGGUGUAUUAGCUAGUUGGUGAGGUAACGGCUCACCAAGGCAACGAUACAUAGCCGACCUGAGAGGGUGAUCGGCCACACUGGGACUGAGACACGGCCCAGACUCCUACGGGAGGCAGCAGUAGGGAAUCUUCCGCAAUGGACGAAAGUCUGACGGAGCAAUGCCGCGUGAGUGAAGAAGGUUUUCGGAUCGUAAAACUCUGUUGUAAGGGAAGAACAAGUACGUUAGUACUGAACGUACCUUGACGGUACCUUACCAGAAAGCCACGGCUAACUACGUG